GUGGUCAUAAACCUUGUGUUAAAAUUUCAUAGAUUUCUAUUCACUUUUACUAAAGUUAGAGUGCGAAAAACUAAAAGUAUUCGGACGACGACGACGCAGACGACGCCGACGACGACGACGCCAACGUGAUAGCAAUAUACGACGAAAAAUUUUUCAAAUUUUGCGGUCGUAUAAAAAUGGUAUUUUGGAAUAAGCCUUUCUGAAGCCAAUAUAUUCUAUAUUAAAUCUGCUUUCUCUUCAAGAGCACCUGAUAUCAAACUAAGGUUUGUUUGGGAUUGUGUUGCUGAAUCUCUAAUUUUAUAUAUAGAGAUUUGGGGACUUGUUAGCAUUUUUUUUAGCAAUACAGUGAAACUUCUCUAAACCGGUCCCUCUUAAUACCGGUUCUCCCUUCAUACCGGCCAAAUCAACAAGUCCUGGCCGGCGUGUAUGUAAAUAAACGGUCAGGUAACCUUAUAAAACCGGCCACCCCUUUAAACCGGAUACCGGCCGAUAUUUGUGUAUUUGUGUAAUCAAAAUCAAUAAAAUAUCACCUCAUAAAACCGGCC
rnacentral:lncRNA from 1 species